CGAUUUUUUAAUAAAAAAAAAACCUAAAAUUUUCUCUGAAAGAGAGAGAGAAAGGAGAGAAGCUCCGGGCUCUGGCCUCUGUAGGCCUCGCCCUGGUCGUAGGCUUCACGCGCCGCCCUAAGGACCACCGCGCACGGUGUCUAGGGUUUGAAAAACCAUUCCCUUCCUUCGCCAAUCGUCAGAUCUCGGUGAUGGAAGGUUGCUAGCGUUGAUGGAGGCCUGAAGUCUAGUGGUGACAGAGAUGAGAAAUUACAGCGUGCUUGGUGGCGACGAUCGGGCUGUUGAAUCUGUGAGAUGAAAGGUCACAUCGUUUGGAGUGCCCAAAACUUCUAGAAACUCCUUGCGGCGCUGUGUUCUCAGGAAACCCUAGGGUUUCCUUGUCUGUUUUUACUGUUUUGGGCCUUUGGGGCCACUUUAGUCUAGGGUCUGUUAUUUAGGCUUAGGUGUAACCUGGUUUGGUUUAAUUUGGGCUACGAGUGUAUUUUGGGCUGCUGGGGUUUAAUUCUUUUGGACUCUGUAUAUGGAAUUUUAAAAUAGAUAAAUACUUAUUUAUUUAA